AUACCGGGCCUUUUUGGGCUUGGUAAUUGGAAUGAGGGAGAGUUAAACGGACCAUCGAGCAUCCAUUGGAGGGCAAGUCUGGUGCCAGCAGCUGCGGUAAUACCAGCUCCAAUAGCGUAUAUUAAAGUUGUUGCAGUUAAAAAGCUCGUAGUUGGACUUGUGUGCUCUGUCCGCGGGUGGCCUGCGCCCAAAAGGGCGUUUCGGUUCGGCCCCGGUGGCGCCUUGAAAUCUGCAGCUGGGGGGACGUUGGCCUUAACUGGUCGGCGACCGCACGCCGGCUGCUCGGUUACUGUGAGAAAAUUAGAGUGUUCAAGGCAGGCAUUGGGUGCAAUUGAAUACAUUAGCAUGGAAUAAUAAAAUAUGGCUCCUGCCGUAUUUUGUUGGUUUUGACUGGUGGGAGUAAUGAUUGAUAGGGACGGUUGGGGGUGCUAGUAUUGAGCGGCCAGAGGUGAAAUUCAUGGAUUCGCUCAAGACUAACUUACGCGAAAGCAUCCACCAAGGACGUCCUCUUUAAUCAAGAACGAAAGUUGGGGGAUCGAAGACGAUCAGAUACCGUCGUAGUCUCAACCAUAAACUAUGUCGACUUGGGAUCGGCGGUAGUUUUUUCAUUAAGACACUGUCGGGACCACGGGAGAAAUCAAAGUGUCUGGACUCUGGGGGAAGUAUGGUCGCAAGGCUGAAACUUGAAGGAAUUGACGGAAGGGCACCACCAGGAGUGGAGCCUGCGGCUUAAUUUGACUCAACACGGGGAAACUUACCAGGUCCAGAGAUGUAGAGGAUUGACAGAUUGAAGCUCCUUCUUGAUCACUUCGGUGGUGGUGCAUGGCCGUUCUUAGUUGGUGGAGUGAUUUGUCUGGUUAAUUCCGUUAACGAACGAGACCUCAGCCUGCUAGUGUAGUCGGCUGGAUUGCCUUUGGCGAUCCGUGAUUUCGACUUCUUAGAGGGACAAUCGACGCGCAGUCGAUGGAAGUUUGAGGCAAUAACAGGUCUGUGAUGCCCUUAGAUGUUCUGGGCCGCACGCGCGCUACACUGCUGGGCUCAGCGAGUUUUACUUGGCCGAGAGGCCCGGUUAAUCUUGUGAAAUCCCAGCGUGCUUGGGCUCGCCUCCUGCAACUGGAGGCGCCAACGAGGAAUUCCUAGUAGACGCAGGUCAUCAACCUGCAUCGAUUACGUCCCUGCCCUUUGUACACACCGCCCGUCGUUCCAUAAGAGUGAGGCAUCCGGUGAAUUCUCGGGAGAGCCUGGGCGUGGCCAGCAAUGGUCUGCUCGGGUUUGAACUUGCAUAAACUUGGUGCCUAUGAUUAGGG
rnacentral:rRNA from 1 species